rnacentral:rRNA from 1 species
CAAUAGCGUAUAUUUAAGUUGUUGCAGUUAAAAAGCUCGUAGUUGGAUUUCGGUUGAGAGCGGCCGGUCCGCCGUUUGGUGUGCACUGGCUGGUUUCAGCUUCCUGCAGAGGACGCGCUCUGGGCUUAAUCGUCUGGACGUGGAGUCUGCGUGGUUACUUUGAAAAAUUAGAGUGUUCAAAGCGGGCUUACGCUUGAAUAUUUCAGCAUGGAAUAACACUAUAGGACUCCUGUCCUAUUUCGUUGGUCUCGGGACGGGAGUAAUGAUUAAGAGGAACAGUUGGGGGCAUUCGUAUUUCAAUGUCAGAGGUGAAAUUCUUGGAUUUUUGAAAGACGAACUUCUGCGAAAGCAUUUGCCAAGGAUGUUUUCAUUAAUCAAGAACGAAAGUUGGGGGCUCGAAGAUGAUCAGAUACCGU